GAUGAACGCUAGCGGCAGGCUUAAUACAUGCAAGUCGUGGGGCAGCAUGAGUAGCAAUACUUGAUGGCGACCGGCAAACGGGUGAGGAACACGUACACAACCUUCCUUCAAGCGGGGAAUAGCCCAGAGAAAUUUGGAUUAAUACCCCAUAAUAUAUUUGAUAAGGCAUCUUAUUAAUAUUAAAGCUUCGGCACUUGAUGAUGGGUGUGCGGCUGAUUAGAUAGUUGGCGGGGUAACGGCCCACCAAGUCUACGAUCAGUAGCUGAUGUGAGAGCAUGAUCAGCCACACGGGCACUGAGACACGGGCCCGACUCCUACGGGAAGCAGCAGUAAGGAAUAUUGGACAAUGGACGAAAGUCUGAUCCAGCCAUGCCGCGUGAAGGAUUAAGGUCCUCUGGAUUGUAAACUUCUUUAUAUGGGACGAAAAAGGGCAUUCUUGUUCACUUGACGGUACCAUAUGAAUAAGCACCGGCUAACUCCGUGCCAG
rnacentral:rRNA from 1 species